rnacentral:rRNA from 1 species
GACGAACGCUGGCGGCGUGCUUAACACAUGCAAGCCGAACGAUGAAGCUGGAGCUUGCUCCGGUGGAUUAGUGGCGAACGGGUGAGUAACACGUGAGCAAUCUGCCCUUGACUCUGGGAUAACUGCGGGAAACUGUAGCUAAUACCGGAUACGAGAUUUGGAGGCAUCUCCGGAUCUGGAAAGAAUUUCGGUCAAGGAUGAGCUCGCGGCCUAUCAGCUUGUUGGUGAGGUAAUGGCUCACCAAGGCGACGACGGGUAGCCGGCCUGAGAGGGUGACCGGCCACACUGGGACUGAGACACGGCCCAGACUCCUACGGGAGGCAGCAGUGGGGAAUAUUGCACAAUGGGCGAAAGCCUGAUGCAGCAACGCCGCGUGAGGGAUGAAGGCCUUCGGGUUGUAAACCUCUUUUAGUAGGGAAGAAGCGAAAGUGACGGUACCUACAGAAAAAGCACCGGCUAACUACGUGCCAGCAGCCGCGGUAA